GCAAUAGUAGCUCAGCCUAGAGCAUCGGUCUUGUAAACCGGAGGUCGGGGGUUAAAAUCCCCCCUACUGCU
rnacentral:tRNA from 1 species